GAUGAACGCUGGCGGCGUGCCUAAUACAUGCAAGUCGAGCGCACAUUCCAGGAGCUUGCUCCUCUGACGUUAGCGGCGGACGGGGGCGUACCGCGUAGAUAACCUACCUAUAAGACUGCGAUAACUGCGGGAAACAGGAGCUAAUACCUGCUAAUAUAUUGAACCGCAUGGUUCAGUAGUGAAAGACGGUUUUGCGGUCACUUAUAGAUGGAUCCGCGCCGCAUUAGCUAGUUGGUAAGGUAACGGCUUACCAAGGCAACGAUGCGUAGCCGACCUGAGAGGGUGAUCGGCCACACUGGAACUGAGACACGGUCCAGACUCCUACGGGAGGCAGCAGUAGGGAAUCUUCCGCAAUGGGCGAAAGUCUGACGGAGCAACGCCGCGUGAGUGAUGAAGGUUUUCGGAUCGUAAAACUCUGUUAUUAGAGAAGAACAAAUGUGUAAGUAACUAUGCACGCCUUGACGGUACCUAAUCAGAAAGCCACGGCUAACUACGUG
rnacentral:rRNA from 1 species